UACAGAGGGUGCAAGCGUUGUCCGGAAUCACUGGGCGUAAAGGGCGCGUAGGCGGCCCGGUAAGUAGGGGGUGAAAUCUCACGGCCCAACUGUGAGGCUGCCUUCUAGACUGCCAGGCUCGAGCACAGUAGAGGCUGGUGGAAUUCCCGGUGUAGCGGUGGAAUGCGUAGAGAUGUGGAGGAACACCGAUGGCGAAGGCAGCCCCCUGGGAUAAGACUGACGCUCAUGUACGAAAGCGUGGGGAGCAAACAGG
rnacentral:rRNA from 1 species